rnacentral:lncRNA from 1 species
AUGUGCCAAACAUUGCGUUAGAAGCUUUUGUAUGUAAAAUCCCUAUUAUACCAACAAUCCUCUGAGAUAGGUAGUAUUACUCACAUGUUACAGAUGAGGAAACCGAAGCUCUGGGAUUUUAAGAGGCUUGGCCAGGGUGUGGAGGAACUAGGCUUCCAAUCCAAAUCUUUGGUCUUCAUGCCCACUCCUGGGUCUCCCCAGCACCACUGCCCUCUCAGACGUUUGCAGAUGCUUCCAAACAGAUCCAGAUGUGGAGACCACACAGGCUGAUGCCCAAAAUGCCACGCUGAGAAAAAUGUUCUCAAUACAGCUUUUUAGUUUUUUUGCCACUUUUAACUCUUUGACAUUCAUAAUUUAAAGAUGGCAACUCCUGAAGAUGGAGGUGAGUUACCUCUUAAUUAUUAUAUGCUAGAAAUAAUUCAUUUCUAAAUCACACUAUGGGCUCUAGUAGAUUUUUUUUUUUCUUUGCUUGUGUCACUAAAUUAGGGCAUGAGGAGAAAAUCUGCAGGAAAUAAGUUAUAGGUAGAGCAUCCAGAUCAUGGGUGUUUAUACCUCUUCUGAUGUCAGUAUAGAUAUAGAGGGCAAGUUUAUACAAAAUAUAUGGAGGUCUAGUACUGACACAAGGGCUGAGGCAUCCACACUUUAGACCAAAGUCUUAGUCUAUAAGGAUUCUUUAGGAACUUAAGUUAUUUGAAGAAAAGUGAUAGUUUAAAAUAGAUCUGUGGGUAUGUAUAUGAAUAUGUGUGUACACACACACACACACACACAAACAUGCACAGUUGAUUCUUUAACGGCCUGAACUGCGCAGGUCCACUUUUAUACAGGUUUUUUUUUUCAAUAGCAAAUACUAUGCUAUUACAUGAUACAAGUUUGUCUGUAUCCCCAGAUGUGGAACCUGAAAUACAGAGGAAACGCAUAUACUGAGGUCAACCAUAUAAGUAAAAUUUUCAACUUGGCUAUGGGUGGGGGCUUGUAACCCCUGUAUUAUUUAAGGGUCACCUGUAUACAGCUGUGUUUAGGGGGCCUUAGGACAUGAAUUAUUCAGAAGAACUGACUCUUCCAGUUAGCUAAGGAUACCUCUUUAAAAACAGCUUUCCUUUUUUUUUUUUUUUUUUUUUUCUCUUUUGGACAAAAAUAUAAAACAUAUUGUGUAUUUCCUACUGUUGUUUUAAGCUAACAUUUUUUGGUGAUCAUGAUUUGUCUUUCACUGAACUAAGCAUACCCCUUGCAUGGUCAUGUAAUUCCCACUCCCAACCUAUGAGGUAAUACGUUUACCAUUAUUUUACCAAAGAUGGUAAAGGUUUAAAGAAGCCAGGGAAGUUGGUCAAGUUCUCAUAACUAGUAAGAAGGAAUGAAGCCAGGAUUAAAACAGGUAUUCUGACCACCCCUCUCCCAAACUCGUCUCAUCACCUCCCUGCAUUGUUUCUCUGAAUAGUUUAAGUCUUUGUGGUGACUUUUACCCUCUAAAAUUAAAUAUUGAGUUGACCUGUGUUAUAACAAUGGUGGGGUCAUCUGGGCUUAAGAUCACAAUACUACAAUGCAUAUAAGUGUGUGUGACAUAUACAUUGUAAUAUUGUUCUCUUUAGACACUGAAUAUAGGCACAAACAGUCACCAUUUGUACCUGUAUUCAGUGGCCCAAGACUAUAAUGCUUUUUGGGUUCAUGACACCUGCAUUUUUCUUUUCUAUGCCCUCUUUUACUGAGCACAUAUGCUUUUGUUGUAGAAAGCCUCUGGUUUGCAGAGUUAGAGAGAUGUAUUCAUUUCCAGCUCUGAUACAUACCUGCAGUGUGAUCUCACUUUCUUCAUCUGUAAAAUGGGCAUAGUAUUGCCUGCUUUGAAGAGGAUGAAAGGAGACAGUGUAGCUAAGCAUCUGACACCAUGACUGGCAGGCAGUAAGUUUUCAACCAAUGCUACACUGUUAUUCUAGCCUAUCACUGCUGUCAGGUGGCUAACCAUCAUUUCUCCCUGCUAUCAGUGUUCCUGUUAUAUCUGGCUCUUCCACUCCUCUGUAGAGUCUAAUCUGCUGGGGUUUGGCAAACAGUUCCUGUAUUGGUAACAUAGCAGAAUGGGCUUGUGCAAGAUAUUGGCACUGAGAUGAGGGUGCAAAGUCAAGCCAGGAACAAAACAGGGGUGGACAUGCUGACAAAACAUGGACAACCUUCCAAAGCACAGUGCAUGCAGUUGAAACAGAAUCAGGGACGUGACUGGGGCCAGAUAUUAGGGUAGCACAGAGAUACCCAUGGGAAAGCCAAAGUCCACGACUCAGUCUGGGGUCACAAGCUGACAGGAGCCAAGCAGAAGAUAAAGCACAGAGGCAUGGGGCAGACAGGCCUGACUGGGAGUACUUCUUGUAGCCUGCAGUUUGUGCUAAUGCUCCUUUGGAAGGCCUGGAGCUUUUCCACAAUAGACUCUGAUCUUUUUUAUAGAUACAACUCACCAAGACAAGCAUCUCUUAAUCAGAAUGUGAAAUUUUUAGAUCUGAAAUUAAAGUACAUAGAUACUGAGUCAAGAUUUAAGGAAUAUUUAAGUAAGAUAAAUAAAAAGAAAUUUUAAUGUGUCCAUUUAGUUUGACUAACUUUGAUCUCUUAUUUACCAGUAAGGUGUUAACUAAGUCACAGAUAAAUGAGGUUUCUUAGUCGCAUAAUGUAUGAAUUGGGUUGCCAUUAAAAUAUAGGAUGCCCAGAUAAACUUGAAUUUCAGAAAAAUAAUGGAUUUUUUUAAAGAAUAAGUAUAGGCCAAAUAUUACAUGGGGCAUAUUUAUGCCAAGAGAUUAUUCAUUACUUAUGUGAAAUUAAAAUUUAACUGGGAAUCUUGUUUUUUUUUUUAACUUUUGUUCAAUCUAGAAACCAUAUAUAUGUGUGACCACAAUAACAUAAAUAGUAGUUAAAUAAGUACUUCCAGGAAUAGAAACAGUGAUAUAUAUGUUUCCAAAAAAAGGGAACUCUUAUUUUUUUCAGUGAUGUAUCUUUAUGGAUAUUGUUUUCCUCUCACAACUGAUAAAUGAGGUACAACAGGAGUUCCCUUGUGCCACAGCAAGUUAAGUAUCUGGCAUUGUCACUUCAGCAGCUUGGGUUGCUGCUAUGGCGAGGGUUUGAUCCUUGGUAUGGGAGCUUGAUAUGAAGGAUCAACUUACCAAUCAUGAAGCUUGAGUUCAAAAUAUUCUUUUCUAAUAGUUUGUAAAUAGCAGAACUAGAAUUCGAACUCAGGUCUGUUUGGCCCUACAGCCUUAAAUAACCCGCACACUCUUUUUAUUACUUUAAAUCCAGACACAUAGUCUGAGUCUCUGGCCAAGAAGGUAAAUACAUGUGUACUAGUUUUCUGUGAUAUUUGAAUAUUUGGAUUCUGGCCUCCAUCAUCCUUCAUUACACCUGAUGAUGUACUCACAAAAUGCCGCCAUUUUAUCUGUGUGUUUCCUUUGAUCAAAAAGAGAAAACCCAUUUCUGAUUGCUUACAUUCAGACUGGUAUGUUGCUGGGCUUUCUUAGCAGGUGCUCCUUUUCCUGUGCAUUUGAGGCCGUGUCCAGGUGACUCAGAGAAAUCCUUCCAACCACCCCAUGUUGAUGGGUCCCUGUAAUACUUCAUAGCAACAAUCUCACUCUCUUAUUCAUUUUUGUUAAUAACCUAGCCUAGCAAACUCUGCUGGGCAAACAUUGGUUUAAUGUGGAUAGAUUGGCCACUUUCCAGGAGCUAAUUGUUGACAAUUCUCCCUUGCCAUUGCAUAAUAAGUACUGCAAGUAGGUAAAGCUAAUAAAACCACUUAAGAAAAUGGAUGUCACGUUAUCACACCUAAUGAUGGAUGUUUAAAGCUAUGUUGGUGCCCAGCCUUCAUGUGUUUUGGGAGUUGGGUAUUUUGGCCUAUUUACCACAACUAACCUCUUUUAAAUAGUUACUGAAUCACUGGAAACCAAACUGCUAUCAUAUAAGCUGUAAACUCCAUUGAUUUUUUUUUAGAGGAUGUUUAUCAAGGACCAGAAUUGAAAAACUACAUUGUACAUCCCCUAUCAGCUCUUGUAUUGUUAUUAACAUCUAUUGGCAAAACAGGCGGGAGGCACUUACUAUUAACAUGACUGAAGCAAUUAUAUAAAGGCUUCAAAUAAUACCUAGCAAAUGUAUUAUUUAUUGCAUUUAACAGGAAGAAUUUAAGGCAAUUCAGGAACUCAUCAUCAUUAAGUAAGACAUCCUUAUCCCAGGAGAUACUGUAGAGGAACAGGAGUUUUAAAAUAUUUUUUAAAAGAAGUUGUGUUAGCUAAUUCCUCUAAAGAAAAAACAGUGGAAAAACUUAAUCUAUUAAAAAAAGUUCAUACUUUUUUGUCUGUAUCAUAUAUUCGCAUUCAUUCACGUCCUUUUACACAGAAGCCACUCAGCAUUCCAAUUAUUAUUUAUUGCUAAUUGCUUAUCUUUAAAUAGACCACAAGGGAAAAAAAAUCAAGAUUUCAUUUCUCGAGUUCCAGUUUUGUAUUUGAAAAUAUAUGCACCUUAAAUCAUUUUCAACUAAUCAAGUCUUGUAUAGAAACAUUCAAAUGAUUCAUUGGAUAUUUCACUCUCCAUCUGGAUAUUUGGGCUUUAUGUCAAUACAGUCAUAGCUUGAAUUUACUGUGAUAAACUUAGGCAAGAUGCAAUUAUGUCUCGUACGGCAUCAAAGUAUUCAAAGGGAAAUGAGCGCACUCGUUUCUUUGAUGUAAAAAUCUGACUGGAUCUGAGACAGCUAUUGUGAAAUCUUCAAAACAAACCACCAAAGUUUAGUAUUUAGAAACUCAUGAUAAAAGAGAAGUAAUUCCUCAAAUUCUCUAGGUAUCAAGGAAGCGAAAGUGUCUUAUAACUGGGAAGCUUGAUUAUCAGGAGGUUGGGAAGACAUGCAGUCCUAUUAUGAUUACCUCAAACAUCAUGGAAGAAUUUACAAACUUCUCAGAGGUCAUCACUUGCAUUCUUUUUAAGGUUCAUUUGAAAACUUUGAGGACAAUGGUGUUUGCACACUUAAAGCACAUGCCAUUUAAUUUCAUUGGGUUAACUUGACAUGAUCCACUACAAAGCCACACUUUUUAGUAAUCAGUGUUUAAAGAGUUUAAG